rnacentral:lncRNA from 1 species
GCUAUCCUUAUUGUUGGAAGCAUGAUUUUCUCUGAUACCUAUUAUUGGGAGCGUAAUUUUCUCUGAUAUUAAUUGUUGGAACUAGUAUUUGUGCUAAUACCGAUUAUAGAACCCAGAACAAAACAUAAUAUGAAGAAAAUAUAUUAUGGGAGGAAGAAAAAAAUAAAUUAAUACUUUAUUAAUAAAAAGUAAUUAAUUAUAUUCUGGACAAUACCCAUGGAAUUAUAUCUACCGUGACUUAUUCCUACGCCUAACUAUAUAUAACUAUCGAGUCAUAAGAGAUGAUAAAUCCAACUCUUACUUUGGAUAAGUAACCUAAUAUUUUUUGAUAAGUUUAGAUUUAUUUCUGUCAGAUUCAUCUCUUAAUAUUUUGUUGGUUAGACAUAAGAGAUAAGUUUAAAUCUUAUUCAAUUAUUAGUAUUAGGAUUUUAAUUUAUGUCUAUACAUUAAUACAUAUAUAUAUAUAUAUAUAUAUAUAUAAACUGCUGCAAAUGUGUGAAAAAUAAUUCACUACCGAAAUCUAGUCCAAGAAUAUUUAAUAAAAUUUUUAGUUUAAUUUGCUGCAAUACUCCUCUCCAAAUGAUAUCGAAGCAAAUUACGCUUCCAACACUUAGGGACCGUUUGGUUAGAUAUAAUUAUAAAUACAGUGUAGUUAGAGGCACAAGCAGUUGAAAAUGUAGCCGUUACAACUAUAUCCAUUCUGUUUGGUUAGAUGUAGUAGAAAAUGUUGCAAGUAUAAAUAAUUUAUUUGGUUGCAUGCAGUUGAGAUAUAAUUUCUAAAAUUUUAUUAUUUUAUAUAUAUGAUGGUGAGAUUACCUCCUAUGUAAAAAAUAAAAAAAAAAUUUGUUUAAAAAAUAAUUGAGCAGGUAAGUAUACCUUUUAUUUAAAGUUACUCUCUGAGUCUCUUCAACUACUGCGGCCAAUUUGGGUAUAGUUCGAACUGCCGUAUUUGGGCCUCCUGCAGUUUUUACUACACCAGUUGGAGUUAAAUAUAUUAAACUAAACACUAUAGGUAGCAUUUGGAUUGGGGAUAAGGAGUGGAAUAACCCCUUAUCCCCUCUUUAUACCCAAACGCUAAUUUUUUAUUCGAGAAUAGUAGUUCUCGGUUACCUAUAAUAACCGGAUAUAACUAUUCCCAUCAACAUCUCCAUUUUCUAUAUAUAACUACCCAUUAAUUUUCUUAUUCCAUAUUAUCUAUCCAAACGCUAUUUUUCUUAUUUCCGGAAAUAACCUAAUUUUCAUCCAAACGUUAUUUUUCUUAUCCCCAUACUUGUACCUAUUUCUGUAAUAGCUAGUUCUUACUUAUACCCGAACCAAACGCUACAUAGUUAUAACUACAGUGCAGUUACAACUGCAUACAACAAAACGGUCCCUUAGGGGGUGUUUGGUUCCCUGUAAAACUGGUCCGAAAAGUUUUUUUCGAUCGAAAAUUUUUUUUCCGAUGUUUG